rnacentral:rRNA from 1 species
CUACGGGUCGCAGCAGUGGGGGAUAUUGCACAAUGGAGGAAACUCUGAUGCAGCAACGCCGCGUGAAGGAAGAAUGUCUUCGGAUUGUAAACUUCUAUCAGCAGGGAAGAAAAUGACUGUACCUGACUAAGAAGCCCCGGCUAACUACGUGCCAGCAGCCGCGGUAAUACGUAGGGGGCAAGCGUUAUCCGGAAUUACUGGGUGUAAAGGGUACGUAGGCGAUUAUUCAAGUCAGAUGUGAAAGCCCGAGGCUCAACCUCGGGAUUGCAUUUGAAACUAGAUAACUAGAGUGCAGGAGAGGUAAGUGGAAUUCCUAGUGUAGCGGUGAAAUGCGUAGAUAUUAGGAAGAACACCAGUGGCGAAGGCGGCUUACUGGACUGUAACUGACGCUGAGGUACGAAAGCGUGGGGAGCGAACAGGAUUAGAUACCCGAGUAGUC